UUGGAGGCACAGAGGAAGAGAAAGGGGGGAUUGAAAACUGAACCGCACUAAGGAGUUCCACAAUAUAAAUGGAAUCUUGUUCCAAUUUCUGCAGUGAUACCUCAAUUAAUGGAUCAUCUGAGAACAAAGCUCCCUUGGAAAUGAGUUGGCAUGUGUUUUAAAAGAAAUGCUUCACACACGAUGCCAAGUGGAAAAGGAAUACCAGCAGUUAAUUCAGAAGGACUCCUGAACAGAUUGUUGUCCGUACCCACAUGAAGGUCACUAGGUCCAACCUAGGCAAAAUGGUGCAGCUUUUGUUUGUCUUCUUUAAAAUCUCUCCAUCUUUUCCCCUCCUAGUACUCUCCCGCUUAGAUGACCAUUAUUCUCCUCUUAUCAAACCUGGGAGGAACUGCAUAUUGUACAGACUUAAUAGACUACCUGGUUACAAUUCAGUGUGGAUGAGCUGCAGACUUCAAUGGCUAAAAACACUGCCAACUGGUAGAAAAGAACACACAGGACUCCUUGAGGAAAUAGCUUCUAUCAGUCAGGGGCAGAAGUACAAGGUGCUCCAGGGAGAUCUCAGGCCAGAACGGAAGAAAGCUUUUUGAAGAUUAAUGAGGUCCUAUUAAAAGGACACAGAAGCCAGCUUCAAGUGGCUUCUACGGGCCUUCCAUGUGAUGAUUAUGAUUUGGGCUUUCCAAUGGAAGGAUCCAGCCAUCGUCAUGCUAAUCCAGUGGUCAGUACAGCAUCACUAAUUAUGGGACAAACAAAUACUAUGUGUCUCCUAAUAUAAUGCAAUAUGAAUUACACACCAUCUAUGACAUAUCCUAGCCAAAAAUGUUCCAACUUGGUCUAACUUUUAGAUCUAUCUUCCAGUUUCCCAGAAUACAGGAGAUGGACAAAUAAUCUAAUUCAGUGCUUCUCAAGCUGUAGUAAAGAACCAGUACUUCUGUAAAUUAAAAAUGAAUUAUCUGAAAAAAAGAAGUGCAUAUAAAAACA